rnacentral:tRNA from 1 species
AUUAGCAGAAAAAAUGUAUUUGACUUAGGCUCAAAAGGUGUGGCAUUCACAUUUAGAA